GACGAACGCUGGCGGCGUGCCUAAUACAUGCAAGUAGAACGCUGAAGGAGGAGCUUGCUCUUCUGGAUGAGUUGCGAACGGGUGAGUAACGCGUAGGUAACCUGCCCGGUAGCGGGGGAUAACUAUUGGAAACGAUAGCUAAUACCGCAUAAGAGUAGAUGUUGCAUGACAUUUACUUAAAAGGUGCAAUUGCAUCACUACCAGAUGGACCUGCGUUGUAUUAGCUAGUUGGUGGGGUAACGGCUUACCAAGGCGACGAUACAUAGCCGACCUGAGAGGGUGAUCGGCCACACUGGGACUGAGACACGGCCCAGACUCCUACGGGAGGCAGCAGUAGGGAAUCUUCGGCAAUGGACGGAAGUCUGACCGAGCAACGCCGCGUGAGUGAAGAAGGUUUUCGGAUCGUAAAGCUCUGUUGUAAGAGAAGAACGAGUGUGAGAGUGGAAAGUUCACACUGUGACGGUAUCUUACCAGAAAGGGACGGCUAACUACGUG
rnacentral:rRNA from 1 species